rnacentral:rRNA from 1 species
UAGGGAAUCUUCGGCAAUGGGGGGAACCCUGACCGAGCAACGCCGCGUGAGUGAAGAAGGUUUUCGGAUCGUAAAGCUCUGUUGUUAAGGAAGAACGAGUGUGAGAAUGGAAAGUUCAUGCUGUGACGGUACUUAACCAGAAAGGGACGGCUAACUUCGUGCCAGCAGCCGCGGUAAUACGUAGGUCCCGAGCGUUGUCCGGAUUUAUUGGGCGUAAAGCGAGCGCAGGCGGUUAGAAAAGUCUGAAGUGAAAGGCAGUGGCUCAACCAUUGUAGGCUUUGGAAACUGUUUAACUUGAGUGCAGAAGGGGAGAGUGGAAUUCCAUGUGUAGCGGUGAAAUGCGUAGAUAUAUGGAGGAACACCGGUGGCGAAAGCGGCUCUCUGGUCUGUAACUGACGCUGAGGCUCGAAAGCGUGGGGAGCGAACAGG